rnacentral:tRNA from 1 species
GGAUGGGUGGCCGAGUGGACGAAGGCGACGGUCUUGAAAACCGUUUUACCGCAAGGUAACGGGGGUUCGAAUCCCUCCCCAUCCG